CAUCCAUCGGACUGUCUGUGUUCCUAGAAUGCAUACGGACCGCAUUGGGCUCUCGCCUCUGCCUCCGGGUGGACGCGUAGCCUCAAGGUAGACCGUGCAGAGUUUGCGACGACUCAACUCUUGGACCUAAACAGUCUGGGUUGACCUGUCUGCUGGCUGCACGAGCACGGUGCCAUAGCUGUCUGUCCUGCCUGGUGCACCGACCCAACUUCUAUUU
rnacentral:misc_RNA from 1 species